UACGGGGGGGUAAGCGUUGUUCGGAAUUAUCUGGGUACGUAAAGGGCUCGUAGGUCGGCCAACUAAGUCAGACGAUGAAAUUCCCUCAGCUUAAACUGGGGAACUGCGUCUGAUACUGGAUGGCUUGGAUUCGGGAGAGGAAUGCGGAAUUCCAGGUGUAGCGGUGAAAUGCGUAGAGAUCUGGAGGAACACCGAUGGCGAAGGCAGCCUUCUGGGCCCAACUACUGA
rnacentral:rRNA from 1 species